UCGCUACUACCGAUUGAAUGGCUUAGUGAGCUGUAGGGACUGAGAAGCCUUGCCUUCGGGCUUGUGAAUAUCGGAAACUACCGCAAACUUGAUCAUUUAGAGGAAGGUG
rnacentral:rRNA from 1 species